rnacentral:misc_RNA from 1 species
GAUGAAGAACGUAGCGAAAUGCGAUAACUAAUGUGAAUUGCAGAAUUCCGUGAAUCAUCGAGUCUUUGAACGCACAUUGCGCCCCCUGGUAUUCCGGGGGGCAUGCCUGUCCGAGCGUCAUUGCUGCCCUCAAGCACGGCUUGUGUGUUGGGCCGUCGUCCCCCUCCUAGGGGACGGGCCCGAAAGGCAGCGGCGGCACCGCGUCCGGUCCUCGAGCGUAUGGGGCUUCGUCACCCGCUCCGUAGGCCCGGCCGGCGCUUGCCGACGACCAUCAAUCUCUUUCUCCAGGUUGACCUCGGAUCAGGUAGGGAUACCCGCUGAACUUAAGCAUAUCAAUAAGCGGAGGA